UACGGAGGGGGCUAGCGUUAUUCGGAAUUAUUGGGCGUAAAGGGCGUGUAGGCGGCUUCGUAAGUCUCAUUGUGAAAGCCCUCGGCUCAACCGAGGAACUGCAUGGGAAACUGCGGAGCUUGAGUCCGGGAGAGGAGAGCGGAAUUCCCAGUGUAGCGGUGAAAUGCGUAGAUAUUGGGAGGAACACCGGUGGCGAAGGCGGCUCUCUGGACCGGUACUGACGCUGAGACGCGAAAGCUAGGGGAGCAAACGGG
rnacentral:rRNA from 1 species